rnacentral:lncRNA from 1 species
CCUCCUCUCCACCAAAAAUCGCCUCCUUCAAAAGGAUUUUCUGUGCUUUCUCGCUUUGCUUGGCGCGGUUGGAACGUGCCCUAGCACUUUACUGAACUUUCAAAAUCCACUUCUUUUCUCCACCAAAAUCCUUCUUCACUCUCUUGUGAUCCCUCCUCCACUCAAUUCAAGUCUUCUUGUCUGCUACUUUAGUAGAUAUGGCUCCAAAGAUGAAGCUUCCCCAAAGAAGGAAAUCAAUCCGUGAGCCUGAAGAAAUUAUCCGAAAGAAAAGGCAUGCUCAGUCUUCAACUGCUCCCACUCCAGUUUCAGUACCUACUCAAGGUCCCUCUCAAUCCUUCAUAAGCCCCAGUGUGAAUCCUCUUUCUGAUAGAAAAGUAGAAACCGAAAAAAAUAUAGAUUUUCGGUUCUUUAAGAAAGAAGGUUUUACUUUUGCUACC